CCCUUAGAUGUUCUGGGCCGCACGCGUGCUACACUGAGUGGAUCAGCGGGUCAGGUUGCGCGAAAGUGUUUCCUAAUCUUUAAAUCCGCUCGUGAUGGGGAUUGACGGUUGCAAUUUUCCGUCAUGAACGAGGAAUACCUUGUAAGCGCGGGUCAUCAUCCCGCGCUGAAUACGUCCCUGCCCCUUGUACACACCGCCCGUCGCUCCUACCGAUUGAGUGGUCCGGUGAGGCUUUGGGAUCUGGGCGGAAAGAGCGUUUCGCUGUUUCUGCCCGGAAAACUCAGUCGAACCUUAUCAUUUAGAGGAAGGAGAAGUCGUAACA
rnacentral:rRNA from 1 species